GGAUUAAGCACUGGUGAUUGUGUUUGUUUCUGCUACCUGAAGCUAAACUGUUUGAAAGUGAACUUGUAUUUGAGUAGUUAAACUCAGGAAGGAUACUCUGAAACUGGUUCCUGAGGGGUUAUUUUCUUCCUCAUCUUCCCUCUCCCCUUUUGUCUGUCUUACAUGCUGUGCCUGUAGUCCUGACACACUGGAGCUGGACUGUGAAACCAGCUCUGAUGUCAGCACAGCCUCUCAGCAACUGAUUCCAGACCAGCUAGAGGAUGGCAGAGAAAUCAGAGAGAAAGGGUCAGAGCAAAAACAACUAACAAAAAACAAACCACCUCAAAGCAUCCAGGGGGACUCACCAAAAUCAAUGCGAGCGAUGACACCACAUGCCAUGUCAGUUUUCUCCUCAGUAUCAAAAUCAAAAGAAGUGGAAGGAGACAAGUUAGAGAACACUUCGCAGGAUGACUGUUUAAUGGAUUCUACAGAUGCAGGACAUCUGUCAUCUCUUUUGAAUUCCAGUAUUUUGGAAGAAUCACAAAACAGCAAAUCUCAAACCCAGGCUGAGCUCACAGAGAGCUUGCAGUCCUCCUUAAAGGACGAGAAAGACAACACAUCUACAAUCCCUGAGCAGAAG
rnacentral:lncRNA from 1 species